UCGGGAAUAUUGCACAAUGGAGGAAACUCUGAUGCAGUGACGCCGCGUAUAGGAAGAAGGUUUUCGGAUUGUAAACUAUUGUAGACAGGGAAGAAACAAGACAGUACCUGUAAAGUAAGCCCCGGCUAACUAUGUGCCAGCAGCCGCGGUAAUACAUAGGGGGCAAGCGUUAUCCGGAAUUAUUGGGCGUAAAGGGUGCGUAGACGGGAAACUAAGUUAGUUGUGAAAUCCCUCGGCUUAACUGAGGAACUGCAACUAAAACUGGUUUUCUUGAGUGCAGGAGAGGAAAGCGGAAUUCCUAGUGUAGCGGUGAAAUGCGUAGAUAUUAGGAGGAACACCAGUGGCGAAGGCGGCUUUCUGGACUGCAACUGACGUUGAGGCACGAAAGUGUGGGGAGCAAACAGGAUUAGAUACC
rnacentral:rRNA from 1 species